GUUAACCAAAUGUACACCCCUAAUUGUUAUUAACAAUCCCAUGGCUAAUAAGUGAAUUUCGAUUUUCUUUGUACCUUUAGAACAAACUAACUUUGAGUCUAUCAUAGCAUUUCACUGUUGUAUUCAUGGGCUGCCACUAUUUGUACCACUUUUAUAAUUAGGACUUGGGAUUUAAUUUAUUAGCGCUAUUCCAGGUUAUCUCAAUGUCUAAAAGUGUUGAAAUAAAAUAAAAGUUCACAUCUAUGCUUUCGUGUGUUCAUGACAGAAGAAAAGAUUAAUCAUCCUAUUCAAUUUUAGUAUAUGGUUCAUAUUUUGUUCCCAUAUUCAAUAAAACGGUGCUUCUAGUAUAAACCAGCCUCUAUAGCAACAUUCCAUGCAUUGAAGAUGAUAUAUAGAUUACUUUGCUAUGGUAUAUCUUAUAAAUAUCAAUCACCCUCUUUCUUAAAAACUUCCUAAAACCUUGCUGUGGUUUAUCUUAUAAAUAUUCCAUGCAUUAAAGAUGAUAUAUAGAUUACUUUGCAUGCAGUAACAUUGAUCUCAUGGUCCACUGUAGUAACAUUUAUAUUUUAGAAGUUUGAUAAAAAGAAAGAAUGCUACAUGAAAACCUUCUUUCUGCUCCCUAGAAUGUGAUGAUGACUUGUUUAUAUGUUUGUAACCAACAACGCUUACUUGGUGUUUACAAUAUCCUACUUCAUUUGUCAAUGCUUGUUUUAUGUAUUUCAUUAAUGCUUCUUCUGGACAAGUUUCACGGGUGAAUCUUUUACAGGAAGAUGAGCUGAGAGGAGUAGCAGUUCUUAUUUUUCUUAUUUUUGCAAAUAAGCAGAUUGGUAAGUUUCAUGUCUCACAUGUAAUUCAUGUUAUCCUUGAAUAUAUAUACUUCGAAAAUUUGCCUUGCAGCCUAUGCUAUGAUGAGAUUCAUUGCAUGUAUUUAUAAGUAAGAACUUCAAAGUGAUUUAUGCUCGUGUUCUAUGCAUCUUUCAACAAUAGAAACUAGCUUUAAAGCAAAUCUAUCCACUCCUUGAACAAAUCAUCUUUUAAGUGGUAGAAUGCUGAGUCAUUUGUUUAUGCACAUCGAGUCGUUCAUCAUCAAAGUAAGGGAUCUGUGAACCUAUUUGAUCAUCCUCUGUAACUCCUAAAGGAAAUUAAUUUUUGGUCCUCAUUGUAGGUUAAAGGUAGCAACAAGAAGGGAAAAAUAUCACUCAAGGGUGUGCUAAGGUAACAAUACCCUCCCAAUGUCUUUGUUGUAAGUUAGUUAUGUGUUCAACUUUGGAAAGAUGAGAUUUGUUAAUGGAAAAUGAGGCUGCCAAGGUAAAGAGCAGCAAACCUCGUAGGCUACCAAAUGCCAAGAAUCAACAACAACAAAAAAAUGAACAAGGAAAAGGGACAUAAACAAAUAUCUCCACUGGAAUGAUAAUACCAUUACUCUUUUUUAGUAAUACGGAAAAUAAAAUAUAUACAUGUUAAACUACAUUUACAAUUUGGAUUUGAUCUUUUUACUUUAAACAAGAACAUUUUGGUUAUAUUUAAUUUUCGUUAUGUUUUUAUUUUUGAUAUGUUUCAUUUAAAACUAUUUUAAUCUUUUAAUAUAUUAUUAAACUAUUUUUAUUUUCGAUGUCUUUAAUUUAUGUUAUAUUUAAUUUUGGUCUUCAACCAAUGUUUUAUAUUACUUAUAUUGUUUGAUUAAAAAUUAUAAUUAACACUACAAAAAUUAUUUCAACAAACGAAACAAAAAAAAAGUAAAAUGCUACAAACAAAUCAUGUUAUGGUAAGAAUGUAAUGUAUAUGGAGUUUUAGAUUUUAUUUAAAUAAAAAUAAAAAUUGAAUAUUUUAAAAUACAUAAUUUUUAAGAUAUUUAACACACUAUAUACCUAUAAUCGAAUUGAGUUAAUACAAAAUAAAAGAAAUUAAGACCUUAUUUUCUUUUCUCAUAAAAAUUAUUAAAUUCAUAUUAAUCAAAUGGGUAUUUUUUUUAAAAAAAUAAUUAUUAAACAUCAGUCAUCAAUUAAUCAAAUCCACAAAAACACAUUCUUUUCUUUUCUUUCUUUCUUUUUUUCUUUUUUGGGUGAUUGAUAAAGAAAUGAAUUUCAAGUUUUUUACUUGCAAAGAUAGUUGUAAUUUCUAUUUUGUGCUUUCUAAAAAUUCUUAAUAUGUAUUGUUCAUUUUUCUUUGAUAGUGUGUUAUUACUUCCUCUUCUUCUUUGGCUUGUUUGAUUGCUUCCUCCACCCACAGUUGAGCGCCUUGUAUUCACUAAAUCACUGUAAGUUCUUUGGCAAUUAAAUUUUUUGAUUUUAUUUUACUGUUAUUGAAAUUAGUAUUGGAGAAAUGUGACCUUUUUACUACGAUUUGAAGAUAUAUAUCACUUUAAUAUCUUGCAGUAAUGGCUCGUCUGCCUUUAAUACUACAAAGUGUGAGGCGUAAAAGAAUCGGCCUUGUAUUGACAAUGUGGUUGCAAACGUGUACAGCUGCGAGUUGGUUCUUAGUUACAUUAGGUGCCAUCCAUAGCCUACAUACUUAUAGACCAAUGAUUAGAUCUUAUAUUUUAGAUUUUUAUGCAAAACGAGAUUAUGUGAAAAGACUUAUAUAUGCUAGUGACGAGACCUGUAUUGAACAAGUUAGAAUGAAUAGAAUUACCUUUUUUAAACUAUGUGAGAUGUUACAAACUUUAGGGGAAUUGAAGUCGUCAAGGAACAUGUUUGUUGAUGAGCAAGUGAAAAUGAUUUUACAUAUCAUUUCUCAUCACCUUAAAAAUUGAGUUAUCAAGCAUCACUUUAAUAGGUCCGAGAAAACCGUUAGCAGAUCAUUUCACAAUGUUUUAAAUGAUGUCAUACGCUUACAAGAUGUGUUGUUUAAAAAAGCUGAGCCAAUUAUAGCUAAUUCUACAGACCCAAGGUGGAAACGGUUCAAGGUAUUGGAGUGAGUUCUAUAUAUAGCUUGUACAUAAUUUAGUUGAUUUAGAUUUAAAUAUAGUAUCCUAACUCAAGGUUUUAUACAUGUGAUGUAGAAUUUCUUAGGUGCUUUAGAUGGAACACACAUCAAGAUUAGGGUUCCAACAGUUGAUAAACCUAGAUAUCGAACGCGAAAAGGUGACAUAGCAACAAAUAUGUUAGGUGUUUGUACACCUGAUAUGCAUUUUGUUUAUGUUCUUCCUGGUUGGGAAGGUUCUGCUGCUGAUGGACGAGUUCUUCGAGAUGCCAUUAGUAGGAGACAUGGACUAAAAGUUCCUCAUAGUAAAGUGCAAAAUUAGAGGACUUUGAAUUAAUCUUUAAGAUUAUACUUUUUGGGGAAAUUAACCAUGACAAAUAGUUUUUUUAUAGGUUGUUAUUAUCUAGUUGAUGUUGGAUACACAAAUUGUGAGGGAUUCCUUGCACCUUUUAGAGGACAAAGAUAUCAUUUGAAUGAGUGGCGUCAGGGUUACCAACCAAGUACUCCGGAAGAAUUUUUCAAUAUGAAACAUGCUUCAACACGUAAUGUUAUUGAAAGAUGCUUUGGGUUAUUAAAACUUAGAUGGGGAAUACUUAGGAGUCCAUCAUUCUAUCCUAUGAGGGUGCACAAUAGAAUCAUUAUUGCAUGUUAUUUGCUCCAUAAUUUUAUUCGAACCUAUAUGAGUCCUAAUCCUAUUGAAGCGGUGUUGGAAGAAGGAUUACCUCGUAAUAUGAUAGAUGACGAUGAACCGAAUAUCGUAAAUAUUACUCCAUCGGAUGCAUGGGCUACUUAAAGGAUGGAACUAGCUAACCAAAUGUUCAAUGAAUGGCAAACAUCUAGAAAUUAGUUAGGUUUUGGGUAAAAAUAAUAAACGUUAAUUUUUUUAUGUUAUUUCAUGUUUCUUGUAACUCCCUAAAAAUCUAAGUCUUUAAUUUUUGUAUGUUUUGACACAAAUUUCUUUUUUUCUUUAAUGGCUAAGUGAUUUGGGUGUGUUUGGGAGUGUUUGAGAAGCCUGGGUUCAAGUCUUGGCCUUGGCAGAAUUUUUAAUUUUGCUCUUAAUUGAAUCUGGACUUUGGUAUAUAGGACUUAUAAAUAUUAGAGUUUGUUUCAUGACACAAAAAGAGCUUGUGGUCUAGUGGCAAGGUGGCAUGUUGUGUAAUUGUGAGGUCUGAGGUUCAAGUCUUGGGUUGUGCAAUUGAACAUUUAUUUUGCUGCUUGAGCUGUGUAGGUAGUGGAGUUGGACUGAAACACAGCUAAUGGGGAGUUUGAAUGGAUUUUGAAUGGAGUGGUUAGGGGAGUUGAGGAGGAAUUGGUGGAGAAAAUCAAUGAGGGAUAAGGGGAAAGAUUUUAGGAAAGAAUUGAGGAAUUUGAUUAGGGGGUGUGUGUGUCGUUUGGGGUAAUUGAAGUCUUGGGAUUUCAGCUAGGGGGAAUAGAUUGGUAUUUUUGGCAUUUGGAAGAACUUAUUGGGGUAGCAUCUGCUGAAUUUGGUCUUUAGAUUCUAAAGAUACUCGGUUUUGGGUCAAUUUCGUGUUCUCCUGUUAGCUUUUGGUGCCGACUUUUGCCAAGUUUUGGGAAGUACCUCUCGAGUUUGUCUUAUUCUGCUCUUUUCUUUCCUCUUUCCCCUCUCUUCUUUGUCGAAUCCUUCAUUCUCUUUCUUUCCAUUUUCUUUUCUCUGUUGGCCGAACCUUCUUUCUUUUCUCUUCUUCUUCUUUGGCCGAAUAUUUUUCUCUUUCUAUCCUUGAUUUUCACCUCAUUUUAUUUCUUUUUUAUUGAGAGUUAUUUUCUUUUAUUGUUUGUGGUUUAGCCGUUUAUCACUCCUUUCUGUUGGUUCGAACUCCUAGAGGGUUGAAGGAGUAUCAAGUAAUACCAAAUCAUCGAAACCUUUUUCUUUUCUCUCGAUUUAAGGCAGAUAUGUGGGCUAACUUUCUAGGUGUAGGUCGAAUGUUUGUUGCGUUUUUGUAAGUUUUCAUGAAGGGGAUUUAAACCACUUGACUAAACAAUUUUGGUUAAUAAUCUGGUUGUGAUGCAGAUACCCGUCUAAAGGAUUAUAGUCAACAUUCGUCAGUGGUAUAAGUGGGCUAAACCACUUUUGUCGAUCGAGGUAAAUGUUUUGGUUAAGGGUGUAAAAAGG
rnacentral:lncRNA from 1 species